UGAAUGCGAAUAUGAAUUCAAUUGUAUAUAUACAGUCAAUUUGUCGUGGGUGGUUGGCUAGAAGAUAUUUCAGCCAUGUCUGCAGCUGGAAGAUGUCUACAAAGGGUAUGUUGCAAGAUAAUCUUCCGAUUAUGCCCUCGGAUGUUAUAGAGCUGCUGAAGCUGAUCAUCAAAGGAGACAUG